rnacentral:rRNA from 1 species
AGAGUUUGAUCAUGGCUCAGAUUGAACGCUGGCGGCAGGCCUAACACAUGCAAGUCGAACGGUAACAGAAAGAAGCUUGCUUCUUUGCUGACGAGUGGCGGACGGGUGAGUAAUGUCUGGGAAACUGCCUGAUGGAGGGGGAUAACUACUGGAAACGGUAGCUAAUACCGCAUAACGUCGCAAGACCAAAGAGGGGGACCUUCGGGCCUCUUGCCAUCGGAUGUGCCCAGAUGGGAUUAGCUUGUUGGUGGGGUAACGGCUCACCAAGGCGACGAUCCCUAGCUGGUCUGAGAGGAUGACCAGCCACACUGGAACUGAGACACGGUCCAGACUCCUACGGGAGGCAGCAGUGGGGAAUAUUGCACAAUGGGCGCAAGCCUGAUGCAGCCAUGCCGCGUGUAUGAAGAAGGCCUUCGGGUUGUAAAGUACUUUCAGCGGGGAGGAAGGGAGUAAAGUUAAUACCUUUACUCAUUGACGUUACCCGCAGAAGAAGCACCGGCUAACUCCGUGCCAGCAGCCGCGGUAAUACGGAGGGUGCAAGCGUUAAUCGGAAUUACUGGGCGUAAAGCGCACGCAGGCGGUUUGUUAAGUCAGAUGUGAAAUCCCCGGGCUCAACCUGGGAACUGCAUCUGAUACUGGCAAGCUUGAGUCUCGUAGAGGGGGGUAGAAUUCCAGGUGUAGCGGUGAAAUGCGUAGAGAUCUGGAGGAAUACCGGUGGCGAAGGCGGCCCCCUGGACGAAGACUGACGCUCAGGUGCGAAAGCGUGGGGAGCAAACAGGAUUAGAUACCCUGGUAGUCCACGCCGUAAACGAUGUCGACUUGGAGGUUGUGCCCUUGAGGCGUGGCUUCCGGAGCUAACGCGUUAAGUCGACCGCCUGGGGAGUACGGCCGCAAGGUUAAAACUCAAAUGAAUUGACGGGGGCCCGCACAAGCGGUGGAGCAUGUGGUUUAAUUCGAUGCAACGCGAAGAACCUUACCUGGUCUUGACAUCCACAGAACUUUCCAGAGAUGGAUUGGUGCCUUCGGGAACUGUGAGACAGGUGCUGCAUGGCUGUCGUCAGCUCGUGUUGUGAAAUGUUGGGUUAAGUCCCGCAACGAGCGCAACCCUUAUCCUUUGUUGCCAGCGGUCCGGCCGGGAACUCAAAGGAGACUGCCAGUGAUAAACUGG